CUACGGGUGGCAGCAGUGGGGAAUAUUGCACAAUAGGCGCAAGCCUGAUGCAGCCAUGCCGCGUGUGUGAAGAAGGCCUUCGGGUUGUAAAGCACUUUCAGCGGGGAGGAAGGCGGUGAGGUUAAUAACCUCAUCGAUUGACGUUACCCGCAGAAGAAGCACCGGCUAACUCCGUGCCAGCAGCCGCAGUAAUACGGAGGGUGCAAGCGUUAAUCGGAAUUACUGGGCGUAAAGCGCACGCAGGCGGUCUGUCAAGUCGGAUGUGAAAUCCCCGGGCUCAACCUGGGAACUGCAUUCGAAACUGGCAGGCUAGAGUCUUGUAGAGGGGGGUAGAAUUCCAGGUGUAGCGGUGAAAUGCGUAGAGAUCUGGAGGAAUACCGGUGGCGAAGGCGGCCCCCUGGACAAAGACUGACGCUCAGGUGCGAAAGCGUGGGGAGCAAACAGGAUUAGAUACCCUAGUAGUC
rnacentral:rRNA from 1 species